GACGAACGCUGGCGGCGUGCUUAACACAUGCAAGUCGAACGGAAAGGCCCUGCUUUUGUGGGGUGCUCGAGUGGCGAACGGGUGAGUAACACGUGAGUAACCUGCCCUUGACUUUGGGAUAACUUCAUAAAACUGGGGCUCAUACCGGAUAGGAGCUCCUGCUGCAAGGUGGGGGUUGGAAAGUUUCGGUGGCUGGGGAUGUACUCGCGGCUUAUCAGCUUGUUGGUGGGGUAGUGGCUUACCAAGGCUUUGACCGGUAGCCGGCCUGAGAGGGUGACCGGCCACAUUGGGACUGAGAUGCGACACAGACUACUACGGGAGGCAGCAGAGCGGAAUAGUGCACAAUGGGCGGAAGCCUGAUGCAGCAACGCAGCGUGCGGGGUGACAGCAUUCGGGUUGUAAACCGAUUUCGCCUGAGACGAAGCGUGAGUGACGGUAAUGGGUGAAGAAGCACCGGCUAACUACGUG
rnacentral:rRNA from 1 species